AUUGAACGCUGGCGGCAUGCCUAACACAUGCAAGUCGAGCGGAUGAAGGGGGCUUGCGCCUGGAUGCAGCUGCGGACGGGUGGGUAAUGCCUAGGAAUCUGCCUGGUCUUUGAGGAUAGCGUCCGGAAACGGGCGCGAAUACCGCAUACGUCCUGAUGUAGAAAGGGGGGGAUCUUCAGACCUCACCCUAUCAGCUGAGCCUAGGUCGGAUUAGCUAGUUGGUGGGGUAAAGGCCUACCAAGGCGACGAUCCGUAACUGGCCUGAGAGGAUGAUCAGUCACACUGGAACUGAGACACGGUCCAGACUCCUACGGGAGGCAGCAGUGGGGAAUAUUGGACAAUGGGCGAAAGCCUGAUCCAGCAAUGCCGCGUGUGUGAAGAAGGUCUUCGGAUUGUAAAGCACUUUAAGUUGGGAGGAAGGGAAGUAAGUUAAUACCUUGCUGUUUUGACGUUACCAAAAGAAUAAGCAACGGCUAACUUCGUG
rnacentral:rRNA from 1 species